GGCUCAGGAUGAACGCUGGCGGUAUGCUUUACACAUGCAAGUCGUACGAGAGUUUUUAACUCAAGUGGCGGACGGGUGAGUAACACGUAAGAAUUUACCUUUAGGAGGGGGACAACAACUGGAAACGGUUGCUAAUACCCCAUAUGCUUUCGAGUGAAAUGGAUUUUUCCGCCUAGAGAGAAGCUUGCGGCUGAUUAGCUUGUUGGUGAGGUAAUGGCUUACCAAGGCGACGAUCAGUAUCUGAUUUGAGAGGAUGAUCAGACACACUGGAACUGAGACACGGUCCAGACUCCUACGGGAGGCAGCAGUGGGGAAUUUUCCGCAAUGGGCGAAAGCCUGACGGAGCAAUACCGCGUGAGGGAUGACGGCCUAUGGGUUGUAAACCUCUUUUUUCAGGGAGGAAUCAAUGACGUGUACCUGAAGAAUAAGCAUCGGCUAACUCCGUGCCAGCAGCCGCGGUAAGACGGAGGAUGCAAGUGUUAUCCGGAAUCACUGGGCGUAAAGCGUCUGUAGGUGGUCCAAUAAGUCAACUGUUAAAUCUUGAGGCUCAACCUCAAAAUCGCAGUCGAAACUAUUAGACUAGAGUAUAGUAGGGGUAAAGGGAAUUUCCAGUGGAGCGGUGAAAUGCGUAGAGAUUGGAAAGAACACCGAUGGCGAAGGCACUUUACUGGGCUAUUACUAACACUCAGAGACGAAAGCUAGGGUAGCAAAUGGGAUUAGAUACCCCAGUAGUCCUAGCCGUAAACAAUGGAUACUAGAUGUUGAACAGAUCGACCUGUGCAGUAUCAAAGCUAACGCGU
rnacentral:rRNA from 1 species